GGCGCUGUAGCCAAGUGGUUAAGGCGAUUGAUUAGAACAAGCAAACUAUAUCACUUCCACUUUGUGGGCGUAGGUUCGAAUCCUGCCGGCGUCG
rfam:Fistulina hepatica ATCC 64428 unplaced genomic scaffold FISHEscaffold_117, whole genome shotgun sequence.